UACGUAGGGUGCAAGCGUUGUCCGGAAUUAUUGGGCGUAAAGAGCUCGUAGGCGGUUUGUCGCGUCUGCUGUGAAAACGCGAGGCUCAACCUCGCGCCUGCAGUGGGUACGGGCAGACUAGAGUGCGGUAGGGGAGAUUGGAAUUCCUGGUGUAGCGGUGGAAUGCGCAGAUAUCAGGAGGAACACCGAUGGCUAAGGCAGAUCUCUGGGCCGUAACUGACGCUGAGGAGCGAAAGCGUGGGGAGCGAACAGG
rnacentral:rRNA from 1 species